rnacentral:lncRNA from 1 species
UUUUCUUUUUUUGCACCUUUUUCUUAACCUCCUGACCUGCCUCACAAACGCGGGUGCUGUGCAGCUGUGAAAAUGAAAUGGAGCAGAGGUCCGGAAGAACUGAGCUUUUCCUUCUGUUACAACCGUGUGCUCAAAGCUACCCAAGAAAGAAGACGCGACUGUGUGACUUGGAUGAAAAGCCUUGGCAAGGGGCCUUGAAGAGGCCACUACAGAGAGAACCUGAAAGCCACCGUUCUGAAAGGUUGUCAUGUCACUGCAGAAACAGCUAUCGGAGGAGGAGGCCUUUGGAGGAAAUGCUGAGAUCAGUCCCAAGCACUUGACCAAGGCACUGACCAAGGACGGUGUCAGCAGAAGGAGCUGUACAGCAAGGUCAUCAAAGCAAUCGCAAUGUUUAUGGCUUCUCAGUUCUCCAGGAAUAUAUGGAGGUAUGCACACACAGUGCUAUUACCUUGGGGAAACUAUUAGAGGUUGCUUCACACUAUGAUAUGGACUUUUAUCCAUCAAGAGUAAUUACCUCUAUCUUGAUGAGAAAUGAGAAGAUGAUAGUGAGAAUUACUGCAUCACAUCAGAUGCCUCUGAAAAUCUCCUAGUAAUGCUCAGAGAGAGGUGACAAUGGCAGGACCAUCACUGCCUCAACUGGAAUGAGAGCUCCAGAACUCUUGUGGACAUAUCCCAAGGUUUCAACUAGCAAGAACCCUGGUGGCUCUACCUGGCACUGCCUCCUCCAUCAGACUCCCAGAAGCUGCACUGACAUCUGUCCGUACCCUGAAUAUCAUGAGCCUGUUAUAAGCACAAGUCACAGCGUAAGUGUGCAACUUCACAUUUGUGAUUCUUUUGUCGUUUUUUUUUUCCUGUGUGAAAGUAUGACAGCAUUGGUUUAAAGAGAGAAAACAUUCUGCGUAGAUACUGAAGCUGGUUGUGGGAGUUCUCCCAGCAGAAGGUUUGCAUGGUGGCUGAAAGCAUAAAAUUAUAGCAGAUCAUCUCCAUGGCAGUUCAGAGUAAUGCUGUGCUGGUAAGAAUGACGCUGUGAGAUGGAGGAUAAAGUUUAACUGUUUUAUGGCUGGCUGAGUAAAAUUUCAUUGAAUGACAGGCAUUUUCUAUGGCUUGGUUGAAGUGUUAUGGCUGUGGUAGCUUUAUUUUUUCCUGUGGGCCUCUGGGUUUUACUAAAUUCAAAGAUGCUCAAGGAUUUGGAGGCAACUGGAUUUAGCAAAUUGGUCUCUUGAGAUGUUCCGUUAAUUCCUGCUACUCUUGUUGCGUGUGACCCAUUCUAUCUGCAAGCUGAAGGAUCUCUGUUGGCUGUUGGAAGGGUUGUUGAUGGAUUUCCAGUUGUCUGGGUUCAUCAAUCAAACCUUCG